rnacentral:rRNA from 1 species
AUUGAACGCUGGCGGCAUGCCUUACACAUGCAAGUCGAACGGCAGCGGGCCUUCGGGUGCCGGCGAGUGGCGAACGGGUGAGUAAUGUAUCGGAACGUGCCAUUGAUGGGGGAUAACGUAGCGAAAGUUGCGCUAAUACCGCAUAUUCUGUGAGCAGGAAAGCAGGGGACCGCAAGGCCUUGCGCUCUUUGAGCGGCCGAUGUCAGAUUAGCUAGUUGGUGAGGUAAAGGCUUACCAAGGCGACGAUCUGUAGCGGGUCUGAGAGGAUGAUCCGCCACACUGGAACUGAGACACGGUCCAGACUCCUACGGGAGGCAGCAGUGGGGAAUUUGGACAAUGGGGGCAACCCUGAUCCAGCCAUGCCGCGUGAGUGAAGAAGGCC